rnacentral:rRNA from 1 species
CCUACGGGGGGCAGCAGUGGGGAAUAUUGCACAAUGGAGGGAACUCUGAUGCAGCGAUGCCGCGUGAGUGAAGAAGUAAUUCGUUAUGUAAAGCUCUAUCAGUAGGGAAGAAAGCGACGGUACCUGAAAAAGAAGCUCCGGAUAAAGACGUGCCAGCAGCCGCGGUAAUACGGAGGGAGCAAGCGUUAACCGGAUUUACGGGGUGUAAAGGGGGUGUAGGUGGCAGGUCAAGUCCGGAGUGAAAGCCCAAAGCUCAACCAUGGGAUUGCGUUAGAAACUGGUCAGCUAGAGUGCAGGAGAGGCAAGUGGAAUGCUUAGUGUAGCGGUGAAAUGCGUAGAGAUUAGGAGGAACACCAGUGGCGAAGGCAGCUUGCUGGACUGUUACUGACGCUGAGGCUCGAAAGCGUGGGGAGCAAACAGGAUUAGAUACCCGAGUAGUC